rnacentral:lncRNA from 1 species
CCAGACCUGAAACUACAUCAUCUUUAGAACCUGAAAUACAAGGAUUAGUUAGAACUCAAGAUAAUAUAUAUAAACCUAUAUAUCAACCAAUGUACACAGAUACUCUAGAUCAAGAUUUUCAAUUAUUAACAUUACAAAAAAAAAUAAAAAAAAUAAAGAUUAUAUAAAAAAUGAUUAUUUAAGCGAAAACAAUUAAGAUUUUCGAAAUUGGUACCUAUCUACAUUUUCAAAAGAAUUAUUACAAAUGACUCAUAAAAGAUACAAUAAAUUUUUGAAAAAAGAAAAAAUAAACUUAGGAUUGUUUGAAUGGCUCAAAACUACAUUACUUUUAAAAGGAGUAAAAAUUCCUGAAUUCAAUAAACUACAUACCCUUGAAAAUCAAUAUCAAACAUAUACUACAGAACAACAAAAACAUAUUCGAAGUAUUCAUCCUCCAGAAGAAAGUAUAAAAAUUCUCGGAAAAGAUAAGCAAGAAGAAUUAAAAAUAAUAGCUACUUCAUAUAAAACACUUCCUGGAUAACACUAUCAUAAAAUGGAACUAUUACCUCAUUUAUUAGAACAAAAUAACUAUACGAAUUUAUAUUUACAAACCAUAGGAAAACAAACUACCAGAAUAGAAAAUCUUAUCAGACAACCAUAAGAAAAAAUUGAAUAAAGGAAAAAUGCAAUAUUAUUUAAACCUCCUCCUCUAAUUAAUAAAUAAAUAUUUCAAAUGAAAGAAGAACAUUCAUCUGAAUUAAUGCAACAAUUAAUUACCAAAUUAGCAAGUCUAGAUAUCAAAGGAAAGGAUAAAGUUAAAAGUCAAUAAUCAGUAAUAAAGAUAACAGAACCAACAGCUAUGAUGUUACAUGAAAUACCAGAAAUUCAGAAUACCAUUACUAACAUCAAAGAUGCUUUUACUCAAUCAUCUCUAGAAAAUAAUAUCAACAGAAUAGAUUAUGGUAAAAAAUGGAGACCUGUAUCUCAAUCUAGAAUGUACCAUACUAGACCUACUCCAGUUGAUAUACAAUUUGAAGAAGACCUUAUAUCCCAUACUGUAUCAUAUUCAGGACGAACUAUUGUUAAUUGGAAUAUAAACGGAAUGUCCGAUCAUCAGAUUCUUGAUACAAUGAAACACAGGACCAUGUAUGCCACUGCAUGCAAGGUCUCUGGAGCUCAUGACCAAGAUGUAGCAAAAGCUAUUAUUUGUGGCUUUACUGGUUGGCUCAGAUGAUGGUGGGAUUUCCACCUUAAUGAUAUAUCGAAACAACAAAUAUUAACAGCCACUAAACAAUCAUAUAUUAAAAAUGGAUUAAAUCAAGACGUCGUUCAAGCCGGAAGCGAUGAUGUCAAUACCCUCAUAUACACAAUAACCCUUCACUUUGUUGGAAGUACUGCCCUACUAGAAGCAAGAUCUGAAGACCUCCUUUCUAAUCUUAAAUGUCCAACCCUUUCUCACUAUAAAUGGUAUAAAGAUGUUUUCUUUUCCCGCCUUCUUAUUCGAGAAGAUAGUAGUUCCGAUCACUAGAAAGAAAAGUUUAUUUCCGGCCUUCCCUAUCUCUUUGCUGAAAAAGUCCGCAACUGCUUUAAAACAAAAAAUGGGGGGAUUAUUCCCUAUCACCCCUAUACUCUAGGAGAAUUAUCAGCCGAGAUAUGUGUUGAAGGGCUAGCUCUUUGCACUGAUCUAAAACUCAAAAAACAACUUGAUAAACAAAAGAUGACUGGUCAUAAAGAACUUGGUGAUUUUUGCGAACAAUUAGGAUACAAUCUAACUAUUUCCCAAAAGAAACCCCAUAAAAGAAUAAAACAAGAAAAGCGACAAAAAUCAUACAAAAAAUCAUAUAAGAAAAAUAAAUACAAAAAAUAUGAACAACCUCCUAAAGGAAGUUCUAAAUAUAAAAGGCCUAAAAGAAAAAUACCUAGAUGCUAUAAAUGUGGAAAAUUACGACACUAUAAAAAUAAUUGUCAGGUAAAGAAAAAGAUAGAAUCAUUAAUAUUAGAUGAAAAUAUAAGAAAUCAAUUAUAUGAAAUUAUUCAACUAUAUGAUAAUAAUAAUAGUACAACAUCUUCCUCAUAUUCGGAAAGUUCUGAUGAAGAAUCAGAUAUAGGAAUAAUAAAAGAAGAAGAUUUAUUAAAUGAGACAUCUUCCUUCUCAAAAAACGACAACAAAUGUGCAUGUCAUACUAUUACCAAAGAGGACAAUUUAAUUCUAGAAAUUAUAGACAAAAUACCUAAUACUGAAGAUAAAAGAACAAUAAUCAGCCAAUAUAUUCAGAUAGCAAAUGCUAGAAAUAAACCAACUCCCUUAAUAAAACCACCGGAAGAAUAUAGCUUAUCUGAAAUACUUAAACGAAUUGGUCAAAAGGGUAACAGCCAUAAAGAACCUACUAUUGUUGAACUAAAACACGAAGUUAAUGAAAUAAAAUCUGAACUUAAUAAUUUGAAAAAUAGGGUUAAGUUAUUAGAAUUAACUAAUCAAUUAACCGAUAAUCCAUCUGAAGAUGAAGAAAUAGAAUUUGAUGAGCUAAUAACUAAUAAUAGAAUAUUAGAUAAACCUGAAUCUUCUAAAAACAAACAAGAACCUCAGUUAAAUUUAAUAAAUAAAAUCUUAAAUCAAAAAUGGUAUACCUUAAUUAAAAUAAUAGUUCAGAAUGAAUACCAUUUCCAAUCUAUGGCCUUGAUAGAUUCAGGAGCCGAUUUGAACUGCAUAAACGAGGGUUUAGUCUCUAACAAAUAUUUUGAUAAAACCACGCAAAUCCUAAAUACAGCCGAUGGAAGCAAAUUGAAAAUAAAUUAUAAAUUAUCAAAUGUUGUCAUAUGCAAUAAUGGCAUCUGUCUAGAAUUACCAUUUAUCAUGGUAAAAGGACUUAACCAAGCUGUUAUUUUAGGUACUCCUUUUAUUAGUAUGCUAUACCCUAUUGUUAUAGAUCAUACUGGAUUAGAAUCAAAGAUUGAAGGAAUAAAAGUAAAAUUCGAAUUUAUUGAUAAACCAAAAAUAAAAGAAAUAAAUAAUAUAAAACAAAAUCUACAAAAUAAAGAGAAAUUUUUAUAUCAGCUCAGAACUGAAAUAAAAUAUAAAGCAAUUGACGAACAGCGAUCACUUCCUAAAACGAAAUAAAAAAUCGAAAACUUAAGACACCAAUUUGAAAAAGAGAUAUAUAGUGAUUUACCUAAUGCUUUUUGGAAUCGACGAAAACAUAUAGUAUCUCUUCCAUAUGAAGAAGGAUUUUCUGAAACUAAAAUUCCAACAAAAGCUCGCCCAAUCCAGAUGAAUUCAAAAAUGUUAGAAAUUUGUCAUAAAGAAAUAACUUCUCUCUUAGAAAAAAGAUUAAUAAGGCCAAGCUCAUCUCCAUGGAGUUGUGCCGCCUUUAUGUAGAAAAUAAUGCCGAAAAGGAACGAGGAGUUCCAAUAUUAGUUAUCAAUUACAAACCAUUAAAUAAAGUUUUAAAAUGGAUCAGAUAUCCAAUUCUUAAUAAAAAAGAUUUAUUAGAUAGACUUGUAAAUGCUUGUAUUUUUUCAAAAUUUGAUCUUAAAUUCGGAUACUGGCAAAUACAAAUAAAUGAAAAGGAUUGCUAUAAAACAGCAUUUAAUGUUCCAUUUGGCCAGUAUGAAUGGAAUGUAAUGCCAUUCGGCCUAAAAAAUGCACCAUCUGAAUUCCAAAAAAUUAUGAAUGAUGUUUUUAACCCUUAUAUGACAUCUAUGAUAGUUUACAUUGAUGAUGUUCUUAUUUUUUCAGCUGAUAUACAUCAACAUUUCAAACAUUUAAAUAUAUUUCUCAAUACUAUUAAAAUGCAGGACUCGUAGUUUCUGCAAAGAAAAUAGUUCUUUGUCAACCUAAAAUUAGAUUCUUAGGCCAUAAUAUCUUCCAAGGCACAAUUAUUCCCAUAGAUAGAGCUAUUGAAUUCUCUAUUAAAUUCCCUGAUAUUAUCUUAAAUAAAGUUGAAUUACAACGAUUCUUAGGAUGCUUAAACUAUAUUUAUGAUUUUAUUAAAGAUUUUGCUAUUAUUGCUAAACCUUUAUACGAUCGACUAAAAAAGAAUCCUCCUAAAUAGACGGAUCAACAUACUAAUGUUAUUCGAAUUCUUAAAAGCAAAUCAACAGAAUUACCUUGCUUGGUCUUAUCUGACCCUACUGCUUUUAAAAUUAUUGAAUGCGAUGCCUCUGAACUUGGUUUAGGCGGAAUCCUUAAACAAACAAGUAAAUGAUAAAGAACAAUUAGUACGUUAUACAUCUAAGGCCUGGAAUUCUACACAACAAAACUAUUCAACCAUUAAAAAAGAAAUUUUAGCUAUUGUUCAUUGCGUGAAUAAAUUUCAGAGCGACAAUCUUAAUACCUCAUUUCUUAUUAGAACUGAAUGUAAAUCGGCUCGCGAUAUUUUGCAAAAGGAUGUUCAAAAUCUUGUAUCUGAACGGAUUUUUGCCCGUUGACAAUCGAUUUUAUCUUCUUUCGAUUUUACAAUUGAAGAUCUUCAUGAUUCUUCUAACUCUCUUCCUGAUUUUCUCACCCGUGAAUUUUUGCAGGGGGAGAAGGGAUCUACCGCCUCUUGAACCAGCCUCAAAAAGGUACGCAAUACAAUUAUUUAAUAUGAAUAUCAACAAUAGCAAUAAAGGAAAACUACCUAUGAAGAUUGUCCCGACUAUAUCUGACUCACCCCUACACUCCUAUCCGCCUUUAUCUCUAGCCAGAUCAAUCAAUUACCCAGAAUAUUCAUCCCAACCAAAAUAUGUUCCAGUCUUCACUCCAGCAUCUAGCCCCAAUAAAUCCGUUAACCCAAAUAAAUCAAUAUAUGAAGAAAUUGCUUUAUUGAUAGAUGUUACCAUUGAUGAAAAACAUACACAUAUUGACCCAAAUAAAUUAGCCACUCUAUAUUUACAAAACCACCUUAAUCCUUCAAACGGCAACAAGACCAGAGAGUGGUACGAAGCUGUCCUUUUAGAAACAGGGUCUAUUUCAAUUAUGCAUUUCUUCAAUCCCAAUACAAAAAUAAUUGGAUAUUCGAAAAUACAAAUAAGAAAAUUAUGAUGAUUGGGGGUACGGGCCAUCCCAGGGCCGAAAACUUCAAGCCCCAAAAUUUCAAUAUA